AAAACAACAUGUGAUUCCGUGAGUAGUGGCGAGCGAAAGCGGAUGAGGCUAAACCGAGUACAUGUGAUACCUGGCAGGGGUUGUGUAUUCGGGGUUGUGGGGUUCGUUGUGUCGGCGCUGCCAUGCCGGCCGACAGUGAGAAAUCGUCGUGUUAGUCGAAGUGGUCUGGAACGGCCCGUCGUAGAGGGUGAGAAUCCCGUAGACGAAAACAUGGCGACUGUCGAUACGAAUACCCGAGUAGCACCGGGCCCGUGAAAUCCGGUGUGAAUCUGUCGGGACCACCCG
rnacentral:rRNA from 1 species